UUUAUGCACGUUACAUGAACAAAUUUGCUAACCCUAACCCCUAACCCAUACCCUUGUAUGGGCCCUAUUGAGCAUUAACGUGGGCUAAUUUAGGAUUGGUAUGGAAAUGGGCAACAUUGUAUGGGACCCAUGUGGUUUUAGUAAUGGGCCAUGUAUGGGAAGCCCAUGUGGGCUGACUGUAUUUACCCCAAGUAGCAUAAGCAUGGGCUGACCAUACAUGGGUUAAACCUUGGCACGGCUAUAUUGGCCUUAGUUAAUUUUUAUGUGGGCUAACUGGGAAUGGGAUGGAAAAGGGCAACAUUAUGUUGUGCGAUCAAGCCAUGAGGAAUAAGAUCAGACUAAAGUUUAAAACUUCUGAAAUGUUAGACUUUUACAGGCCCCAAGGGACUGCCUCUCACAGCAGGGGGGCUCACUGUAUAAAGACUCUUGCUGCGCAGGUUUAUCACCCUCUUUCGCCCACUGCCCUAGCAGUAUUGGGGAGAACAUUCUCAUCUCCCUCUGAGGACGAUCCGACUGGAGUUUGGAGAACCGCAGCCUAUCUUCUGCCUAAUCAGAGGGGCACUUAAAAGAAAUGGAUGCAUCCAGGGAACCACGCAGAAAGAUGCAGAAAAGGCCCUCUCUAAGUGGUUCACCAGCAAGCCAGAGCAAGAAGGGAGGCUGCCAAUUUAAAUCCAGGUGAAGGGCAGAGAAAGGGUGCAGUGGCCAAGUGGCUCAAUGCACUAUCGACUGGCUCGCUGUGGCAACCUGCAGAAUACCACCACCUCCCUCCCUUCGCCCUUCCAUUCCUCCCAUCCCCCCACUACCGGCAGCUCCGGGGAGGCUGUAACGAGAGGGAGAGGCAUGGGAAGAAAGGCUGGCAUGGUGAGCUGAGAGAGGGGGGGUUGAUCGAGCUACCCCACCUCACACGGAGAACAGCUACGAGCGGGAAUAAACAGAGUUAAAGAUCCUCCCUUUUCCCCGCGCUCGCUGACAAUGACACUGGGAGACUCAUUACGAAGCAAUGAGGCAUAAAACGCCAAAGCUACCAACGCCAUUCAUCCAAAUAAGCACGACACUCAGCCACUAACCCGCCAGCAUCACAUCCAUCGUGGAGAGAACGGCUGCGGCUUAAUGAAAUAAGACACAACGCUCGUUCUACAAAGACAGACUAUUUGCAUUAAAAUGAUGACAUAUAGUCAGUAAGACCUUGAUCUCUAUUUUUUUUAAUAUAAAGCGAUAUAAGAUGCAA